rnacentral:rRNA from 1 species
UUCCAGACUCCUACGGGAGGCAGCAGUGGGGAAUAUUGCACAAUGGGGGAAACCCUGAUGCAGCGACGCCGCGUGAGUGAAGAAGUAAUUCGUUAUGUAAAGCUCUAUCAGCAGGGAAGAAAAUGACGGUACCUGAGUAAGAAGCCCCGGCUAACUACGUGCCAGCAGCCGCGGUAAUACGUAGGGGGCAAGCGUUAUCCGGAUUUACUGGGUGUAAAGGGAGCGUAGACGGCAGUGCAAGUCUGGAGUGAAGGGCGGGGGCUCAACCCCCGGACUGCUCUGGAAACUGUACGGCUGGAGUGCAGGAGAGGUAAGUGGAAUUCCUAGUGUAGCGGUGAAAUGCGUAGAUAUUAGGAGGAACACCAGUGGCGAAGGCGGCUUACUGGACUGUAACUGACGUUGAGGCUCGAAAGCGUGGGGAGCAAACAGGAUUAGAUACCCGAGUA